GGGCUUUCCGAAAAGGUAUCACAU
rnacentral:siRNA from 1 species